rnacentral:rRNA from 1 species
ACUACGGGAGGCAGCAGUGAGGAAUAUUGGUCAAUGGACGAGAGUCUGAACCAGCCAAGUAGCGUGAAGGAUGACUGCCCUAUGGGUUGUAAACUUCUUUUAUAUGGGAAUAAAAUGUUCCACGUGUGGGAUUUUGUAUGUAUCAUAUGAAUAAGGAUCGGCUAACUCCGUGCCAGCAGCCGCGGUAAUACGGAGGAUACGAGCGUUAUCCGGAUUUAUUGGGUUUAAAGGGAGCGUAGGUGGAUUGUUAAGUCAGUUGUGAAAGUUUGCGUCUCAACCGUAAAAUUGCAGUUGAAACUGGCGGUCUUGAGUACAGUAGAGGUAGGCGGAAUGCAUGGUGUAGCGGUGAAAUGCAUAGAUAGCACGAAGAACUCCGAUUGCGAAGGCAGCUCACUGGACUGCAACUGACACUGAGGCUCGAAAGUGUGGGUAGCAAACAGGAUUAGAUACCCCUGUAGUC